GCUUCGUUUCCAAAUUGCUGCUUAACCGCAAAAACAACUUCGUAGGCUGGGCUGCAGUGGCUCACACCUGUAAUCCCAGCACUUUGGGAGGCCCAGGUGGGCCAAUCACUUGAGGUUAGGAGUUUGAGACCAGCCUGGUCAACAUGGUGAAACUCUUUCUGUACUAAAAACACAAAAAUUAGCCGGGUGUGGUGGCGCACGC
rnacentral:lncRNA from 10 species